GGGUGGUGAUGUAUUUUUCUUUCUUUUUUUAUAAUUUAGAUGAUGUAACCAAUUUUAGAUGCAAAUGAAUGAAAUUUAUUUUUAUUAACAAUAUUCACGAUGUAUGAAUGGAUUAGUACAAAUCAUAUUUCGAGCUGUAUUGGCCAAGUUCUGAUCUAUAUUAGCUAACAACUUAGCUAUAAUUGAAAUUAUAAAAUAUGAUCUGAG
rnacentral:lncRNA from 1 species